AGAGGCGAUGAAGGACGUGCUAAUCUGCGAAAAGCGUCGGUAAGGUGAUAUGAACCGUUAUAACCGGCGAUGUCCGAAUGGGGAAACCCAGUGUGUUUCGACACACUAUCAUUAACUGAAUCCAUAGGUUAAUGAGGCGAACCGGGGGAACUGAAACAUCUAAGUACCCCGAGGAAAAGAAAUCAACCGAGAUUCCCCCAGUAGCGGCGAGCGAACGGGGAGGAGCCCAGAGCCUGAAUCAGUGUGUGUGUUA
rnacentral:rRNA from 1 species